rnacentral:snRNA from 1 species
AUACGUCCUCUAUCCGAGGACAAUAUUAUUAAAUGGAUUUUUGGAACUAGGAGUUGGAAUAGGAGCUUGCUCCGUCCACCUCACGCAUCGACCUGGUAUUGCGCAGUACCCUCAGGAACGGUGCACCA